UUUUGUUAAAUUAAAAUAUACUUUAAUGUCUAUUGAAACUUGUGUGUUAUUUAAAUAUAUUCAUAAUUGCACAUUAAUGAUGGAGUUGCUAUUUAGUACAUUUAAAUUAUAUUAACUUUAAAUGUAAUAUUCAAAUUAUGAUCCUGACUUAUAUUGUUUACACAAGCAACCAGAAGCUAGAUUUGACAAUGUAUCUAAUCUGUGAUGUUCAAAAUGGGAGGAAAUACAUGAAGAAGGGCCCUCAUUAAACCAUUCCCAUGCUCCCACAAAUACACAACAUCUGUAAAUCCUUAAAUGAUCCACCAGCCAGAGAGAUACAUACAUUCUCUUUCAUGUGGCCCAACCCUGAAAAGGGAUUGUUCAUGAAAACCCCUUCGGUUCCUUUGAGAAACAGAGAAAUGUGUAGGAAGAUUUCCUCACAGACUUUAAUCUGUUGUUUGAGGAGGUUGCUCUCUUACCUGCCUGUAAAAUUCAGGUCCAGAUUGAUUCUUCUGCUUUUACACAGUGUUUUAAACUCCAGUUUGAAAGUGUAAAUGUCUCUUCGUUGAGGUUUGACCACCUUUGGAGUUUCCUAGGGAACUUGAAACUUUGGUUUGUGGUUUGUUUAGAGUCUGGUGGCAAAGGUGAAUGAGCAAGACCUAUUAUGUAGUCAAUGGAUACAACAACAAAACCUUGUUUGAGCUCUAUGUAAUUAUGUGUUUCAGUGUUAAACCAGGGCACCAUUUCAAAGUAAGAAUGCUCAGCGUUUCCAUGAUUUCUUUUCUGAUUUCGUUCCAGACCAAAUGUGUUCACAUGUGCAGCAUGAUUGAUCCUUGCAUCUGUAAUCCACAUUCUGCUCAUUGUGUUAUUCAAAAGCUGUAGUGAAUUGCAAAAACACCAUCUAAAGUUUGUGAAACACAUCACAGAUGGAUUGACAUUCUCUUUCCUGUUCCCCUCCCCAGCCUCUCGCCCAUUGUUAAACUGUCAGGGCAUGAUGAUGGCUGCUAGCUAAAGAAAAGCAUGUUUUAGAUUUAUAAGCAUGUGUAGUCAUUCCAACAGCAUGUACCUUUGUUUCAAAUAAAAAUAAUGCUUUGUCCAUCUAUUACAAUUAUGAAUAAGUGGCCUGAUAGUCAGAAUUUUGAUUUGAAUGUUAUCAUAAGUCUCAAUUUUGCGACUCAAAUCUUGAGUCUCAUUUACUCGCCAAAUGUGCCCUGUCUUUCUGUCAGCACAUUGGCCAGUGCAAGCCCCCAUGAUCCUUUGGUGCCGCUAACUUACUUGUGUCUGUUCUACAAAAGUACAUUACCUUGCAGCACAGGUGAUGUAAUGUCCAUCGAGAGUACGCUUGCAAAACAAGUUUAAAUAGUUGAACUGGAAUAUGAUUUAAAAUUUUGGCUUUUCAAAUAGAAAGCAUAAUAAAAUCACUCUGUUUGAUGGGUUUUACAAUGAGGCAAAUGUGUUUUAAUAAUUUUAAGCUCUUCAGAAAUGGCUGGUUUCGUUCUUUCAACACCCUAGAAUAAAUAUAUAUAUUUCUGUCAGGACUACUAUCAUCAAAGAUAACUUACAAUUAGCAUAGAUUUUAGAUUGGGGGUACAAUUCUGUUCUGGAAAACACUCCCUGCCUAUCCAGCACCCCCCAACCCCCCACCCCCACAACUAUAUAAUUGAAGCCUAGUUUGCCAGUUUACAUCAAACACAGCAUACUGCAGCUGUAGAAGUGAGCAAAUGAACUGGUUUAGAGAUCACAGAUUCUACCUGGCCUAAAGCCAAGGAAAUAAUUUUUACUUGUCUAGAAAAUCCUUCUUGAUUUAAGAAUUUUUAGAUAUCUGGGCUAGAAACAAGACAAAAAAUCUAAGUAAUAAAAGCUUCUUUUUUUUGCAGUGUAGCAAACAUGUUACUGAACAACUAGCCUUAAACAAUGAGCAAAAUUUGAUUAUAGCAUAUUUGCCAACUUAGCAUUAUGCAAUGAGAAUGAAAUAAGAAACUUAGCUUCAUUUCGUGAAGACAUUCAGAGAUGAAUAAAGGGUGAAAUGGCCAGUUGUUACGUGGAUGCUUUAACCCUUCUUGAUAUCUUGCUUCUUCCAGCGGGGACAACAGAUCUUGUGUAAAAGUGUUGUUGAUGCAGUCACAUUAGCACAACUUCAGCAAGGAAUUGUGGGCAAAGUGUCUAUGUCAAUCGCGAGAAGCAGUGCUCGCUCAGGUCACUUGCAAGUCUAUCGUCUUAUAUCAAUCAACGCGGCGAAUUUGUUCUCAAGUUCCCGAACUGGUGAGAUACUCCGAUGGAAAUGAACCCCUGGAAUUUGUAGUCUGAUUAGCUCCUGUGCAAAGCGAUAGCUGCUGAAUAAUGACUGAUAUAUGUAUAUACAACCUAAAUGAAAGAGAAAUAUUGUAAUUUUUUCUCUCAAAAGUCUGUCUCGUUGUGCUCUUUGUAUAAUAAGAACAUUCCCAACAUUAGCCAACUAUAACAUUAACUUUAUAAAGUGAAUGUCUCAGCAUAUUAUGGAUUUACACUUUAUCCUGCGACAGGAGCGGGUCCCGUUUUUGCUUUACAUCAAAGAGCUCUUUCUUUUCUCCAUUCUUCUGUUGAUUUUCACAUAUGGAGCCAAGCUUACUGCUAUAUAAACAUGCUAUCAUGUGUAUUAGCAGAACCAUGUUGCAUUAAAAUUGCCCACUAGCAGGGAAAACAGAUACUAACCGCUCCAACCAAGCUCUUCAGUGAUCUUCUUUGUUAUUUUAGCAGUAAAGCAUGAUAACAUGGAUUCUUGUGAUUUGCUUGGUGCUGUGUUUGUGUUGGAUUAUAUCAAUGAGAACCAAAUGUUGUACAGUUUAUGCUGACUGUGUCAGCUGCUCACUCAUUCUUCUUCUACAUUUUAGAUGGAUCAAAGAAGACAGUUGAUGAUGGAUUCUCCAAGGGAACUCCCAGGACUCUUCAGAGUCCACAGUGAUGAACAAACACGUACUGGUCUUGUAAUAGUCAUAGACGUUCACUACAGCUGGUUUCAAGUUCUGCACCAGGACUUCCUGCACAAGCUUCAGGCUGAUGGACUUCUCCUCAUUCUUUUUCAACUGGAAAGGAAGAGAAAGUUAUUAAAUUAUGAUUAAGGAGAGAUUUGUUUUUUAUUGGGGAUGGACAUAAAAGAAUGUGUUUAAGGAAUAGUUCACCCCAAAACUAAAAUUUGUUUCUUCAUAUGAACAGUUUUAGAGAAAUUUAGCAUGACAUUGCUUGCUCACAAAUGGAUCUUCUGCAGUGAAUGGGUGCUGUCAGAAUGAGAGUACAAAAAGCUGAUGAAAACAUCCCAAUAAUCCACAAGCAAUAAACACAACUCCAGAUUAAUGAUGGAUUUAUUACAAACGUGCAGCUUUUCACAACUCAAGAUGUUAACUCGUGGACUGGAGUGUUUUUAUCAGCUGUAUGGACUCUCAUUCUGACGGCACCCAUUCACUGCAGAGCAUGUGAUGCAAUACUACAUUUCUCCAACUCUGUUCUGAUGAAGAAAAAAACUUGUCAAUAUCUUGAUUGGACUGAACUAUUCCUUUAAGUAAUCAGGGUCAGUUUAUCGCUUAUAUUGUCAAAAUAUCUGCAAUCCCAAAAAGGUUUUCAACUCCUCAAGGUAUUUGAAUAAAACAUUUACACUAUCCAAAUAGAAAAAGACACGAUCCUCAUCCAGAUCCAGACGUUUGAUGGUGGGGUCUUCCCUCAGCUGUGGAGACAGAGGAGCGAAUGAAAAUGAAUCAAAUGCUGGUUGCACAACUUGAUCAAAAGAGGACCAGAGCCGUUCAAGUGUCACUCACAGCCUGCAGAGACGUCUCAUCCGGCUUAAACCCAGACAGGAGCCUGACGUUAAUGAUCACCAUGUUGGUCUCCUCUCGUGUGCCGCUAUACCUGUAAUACAAUCGUUCCAACAAUCACAAAGAGGGUUCGCAAUCAUACAUUGUUCUGUAUGUAGUCUGACAGACAGCAAAGAGUCUAUUAGGGCCAUAAUGUACGCUAAAUCUUUCUUCAUUCUUUCCCUAUAGAGUCAGAUGGAUAGGUUACAUGGAUAUGGAAACUGGGCCAUUCGAUGCAAUUAGUACAUUCUGGGUAAAUACCAGUUAUUAUUGUAUCGAUGAAAUUUUUAAGUGUUGGAGAAGAAUUUGCAGAGUGAUGAAAAUCAGUGAUCAGGUGAUGGUUUGUUUAAGAGAAAUAGCAAGAGAUCCAGAUUUUAAACCAAAUACUUUUGAUGAUGUCUUUAAGGUUUGGGCUAACAAAGGACUUAAAAGAUUUGAUCAAAUUUAUGGAGACCAUGAGAUGGUGACAUUUGAGAAUAUAGAGAAAAAAUAUG